UUGAAUUUGGAAGAAGGCGAGAAAAGCUGUGUGAAUAGAAGAUAGAGCCCGUACCGCAAACCGACACAGGUAGAUAGGAAGAAGAUCCUAAGGCCAACGGGAGAAGGGUUGUUAAGGAACUCGGCAAGUUGACCCCGUAACUUAGGGAGAAGGGGUGCUCUUUAAGGAGAGCCGCAGAGAAUAGGCCCAAGCGACUGUUUAGCAAAAACACAGCUCUAUGCUAAAUCGAAAGAUGACGUAUAUGGGGUGACACCUGCCCGGUGCCGGAAGGUUAAGAGGAGGAGUGAGAGCUCUGAAUUGAAGCCCCGGUAAACGGCGGCCGUAACAAUAACGGUCCUAAGGUAGCGAAAUUCCUUGUCAGGUAAGUUCUGACCCGCACGAAUGGUGUAACGAUUUGGGCACUGUCUCAACAACCUGCCCGGCGAAAUUGUAGUACCGGUGAAGAUGCCGGUUACCCGCGACUAGACGGAAAGACCCCAUGGAGCUUUACUGCAGCUUAAUAUUGAAUUUCGGUAUUUCAUGUACAGGAUAGGUGGGAGACAGGGAACCAUAGGCGUCAGCUUAUGGGGAGUCGACCUUGGGAUACCACUCUUGAGGUGCUGGAAUUCUAACCUGUGGCUCUGAAUCGAGUCAGGGGACAUUGUUAGGCGGGCAGUUUGACUGGGGCGGUCGCCUCCAAAAAGGUAACGGAGGCGCUCAAAGGUUCGCUCAGCAUGGAUGGAAACCAUGCUUUUGAGUGUAAACGCAAAAGCGAGCCUAACUGCGAGACUGACGGGUCGAGCAGUAACGAAAGUUGGAGUUAGUGAUCCGGCGGUAUGUGAGUGGAAAUGCCGUCGCUCAACGGAUAAAAGCUACCCUGGGGAUAACAGGCUGAUCUCCCCCAAGAGUCCACAUCGACGGGGAGGUUUGGCACCUCGAUGUCGGCUCAUCGCAUCCUGGGGCUGAAUUCGGUCCCAAGGGUUUGGCUGUUCGCCAAUUAAAGCGGUACGCGAGCUGGGUUCAGAACGUCGUGAGACAGUUCGGUCCCUAUCUGUCGUGGGCGUAGGAUAUUUGAAAGGAGCUGUCCCUAGUACGAGAGGACCGGGAUGGACGCACCGCUGGUGCACCAGUUGUCAUGCCAAUGGCACAGCUGGGCAGCUAUGUGCGGAACGGAUAAACGCUGAAGGCAUCUAAGCGUGAAGCCGACCUUAAGAUAAGAUAUCCCUUCGUAAGAGUAAGACCUCUCAUAGACUAUGAGUUUGAUAGGCCUAAGGUGUAAGCACAGUGAUGUGUUCAGCCUGCAGGUACUAAUCGGUCGAGGGCUUUUCUA
rnacentral:rRNA from 1 species